rnacentral:rRNA from 1 species
UUUUAUAUCUUUCUUUUGUAAAAUAUUUAGAUUUUUGAUAGGGUUUGGAAAGGAAUUUAAAAUUUGUUUUUUGAACUGGAUUAGUACCCAGGUAAACAAAGUUUAUUAAUACGGGAGUAAAGUUUUGUUUAAACCGAAAAAAUAUUGACUGACUUUGGAUUUUUCUUUGGAAUAUGUAUUUUUUGGAUGGCCCUCCUUUUUGGUAGAUUUUGUUGGCACAUGUAUGAUUGUUUAGUUUUUAUUUUUUCUUGUGAUGCUUUUCUUUUUGGUUGAAAAACAGAUAGAUAUUUGGCUUAUAAAUUUUGUUUUAUGUAUUACUAUUUUAAAUUUUUUUUGGAUAUUUUUAUUGAAUUUUUUAUUGAAAUUGGAAAAGAAAGUAAUUUUUUUUUAAUGUGGUUGUGAAUUUAAUAAGUGAAGUGGUACAAACCAUCCGUCA